rnacentral:lncRNA from 1 species
AGUUGGCACUUGGCACUUAUGAGGUGAAGACAAAGCUGGUUCAUGAGGCUUGUUUUCAAUUCUUUGUGAACCACAAGCCCUCACACUGCAAGAUCGUCAUGACAACCUGUCAGGAUGGGAGCCAGGCGAAGUCAGAGCUUAAUUCUAAAACUCUCCCCAAAACUGAGGAAGAAAAACCUCUGCAGGAGAUGCAGGGCAGCGCUCUCUGUCCUUGGGUAUCUGUGCUUCAAGAUCAUUGCCCGGCGGCCAAGCCUCAACCUCACAGCUUGCUUCCUAGGCGAAGCCCAGCAAGGGCCGGACUCAGACCUAUUUUAGACUGAAGUCAAGUGGAUUCCAGAGUAGCUCUGAAAUAUAGCAGGAAAUAUAGAAAUAUAUAUUGGGAUUUCUUUUUCUGGAAAACAAUCAGGCCCUGUCCUAAUGGGAUGCACAGAAGAUAACCAGGAUGCAUGACAUGAAGCUAAUGAAUUCCAAGUCAGAAAAGAGGCACAUGGUGAGACUAGGAACCAGAGUCAGCAUCUACCAUGCUUGGUGGGGCCCAGCACUCAAGCCUGUUUGAUGGGCACUGUGGACUGUGUCUCCACACCUCCAAAAUUCUUAUACUAUGAGGCCCCCAUCCCCAGGGUGGCUGUAUUUGAAAUGGAUAAUAUGUAUUUGAAAUGGAUAAUAUGGCUGGGUAUUAACUAAUCCUGUGAUAACUAAUAUUAAUUUUUCAACUUGAUGGGAUUUAGAAUCACUAUGGAAAUAAGCCCCCUGAAGUCUGUAAGAGAUCAUCUACAUUAAGUUAAUUGAGAUGAGAAGUUGUAUCCUACAUUUGGGUGGCACCACUCUAGGGGCUGGGGUCCUGAAUUGGAUUAAAAGGAGAAAGCAGGGGCUGGAGAGAUGGGUCAGUGGUUAAGAGCAGUGACUGCUCUUCCCAAGGUCCUGAGUUCAAUUCCCAGCAACCACAAUGGUGACUCACAACCAUCUGUAAUGGGAUCAGAUCACCUCUUCUGGCGUGUCUAAAGACAGCUACAGUGUACUCGUAUGCAUAAAAUAAAUAAAUACAUCUUUAAAAAGGAGUGGAGGAGCAAGCUGAAUGCCAAUAUUCAUCUCUAUCGAGUUCCUGGUUAUGGUUAUCACCAGCUGCCUGAUGCUCCUGCUUUCAAACCAUGAGCCAAAGUCGACCCUUCCUCUCUCAAGUUGCUUCUGUUACAGCAAGGACACAAGCAACUCAUACAGGUGCCUUGCAUCCUCUGGGAUCUAUAACGGACUUGAAAGGACAUGUUGGUGGUUAUCAGAUAAGAGAAAACCUGCCUCUUCAUCUGUUGACCUCCAAAGACGUUCUGACAGACCUGUCCCCUAAACCUUUCUCUACUGGGAGACAAGCAUACACUCUCAGAGUUCACAUUUGUUGAUGUAGCUGGUUUCUAGUUUGCUUGUUGUCAAUGCUUCUCACAUGUCAUUAAAUCACUGAAGUACCCC